CAUCUUACCAGGCAGCAUUAGACUGACAAAUAACUUCUAAUACUGUCAGGUAAAGAUGUC
rnacentral:pre_miRNA from 1 species